rnacentral:rRNA from 1 species
AGAACGAACGUUGGCGGCGUGGAUUAGGCAUGCAAGUCGAACGAAUCCCACUCCUGUAGCAAUACAGGGGUGGGGGAAGUGGCGAAAGGGGCAGUAAGGCGUGGAUAACCUACCCUCGGGACAGGGAUAGCCUUCCUAACGGAAGGGUAAUACCCGGCGACGUGAUUGGGGGGCAUCUCCCGAUCACCAAAGGAAUUUCGCCCGGGGGCGGGGUCCACGUGAUAUUACCUAGUUGGCGGGGUAACGGCCCACCAAGGGGAGGAUGUCUAGCGGGUGUGAGAGCACGACCCGCGCCACUGGCACUGCGACACUGGCCAGACUCCUACGGGAGGCUGCAGUCGAGGAUCUCGGCAAUGGGCGCAAGCCUGACCGAGCGACGCCGCGUGUGCGACGAAGGCCUUCGGUGUAAAGCACUGUCGGAGGGGGAGGAAGCCCGCGAAGGUUGACCGUAUCCCGUGGAGGAAGCGACGGCUAAGUUCGCGCCAGUACGCCGCGGU